GGCCAGGUAGCUCAAUAGGUAGAGUACCUGGUAUAUAUCCUGAGGCCUCAGGCCUGGGUUCAACCCCCAGUCUGGCCA